CUGACUCUUCUCAUCAGCAAUCAGACCAUCACUGUGACACACCUUCACAUUACUGUGAUGAGAAAGGUAAGCCUCCUGACUCUUCUCAUCAGCAAUCAGACCAUCACUGUGACACACCUUCACAUUACUGUGAUGAGAAAGGUAAGCCUCCUGACUCUUCUCAUCAGCAAUCAGACCAUCACUGUGACACACACCUUCACAUUACUGUGAUGAGAAAGGUAAGCCUCCUGACUCUUCUCAUCAGCAAUCAGACCAUCACUGUGACACACCUUCACAUUACUGUGAUGAGAAAGAUGAUGCCCCGAGGAAUCACAUUUUGAUUCCUGUGAUAGUGCUCGCUGUGAUCGGAGUCCUGGCAGUCCUAUCGAUCACACUGUAUCUCAGGAGAAAGAAGACGGCGUUUGAGAAAGAAGGCAGCAGUAAUAUAGGCAGCGUCACCAGCCCCUUUAUGAAAUCCCAGCACUGAGAGAGAGAGGACUAUUGAUCAGAGAGUAAGAGAACAACAACGUCAUGAAGAAAACUGCCAGCGAGACACACUUGUGAAAACAACACGCCUUCAGGCAGCUUGGUGUUUGUUUUACAGAUCUUUGGAGCCAAGGUGCUACUCAAGUACAAAGCACACUGCCUUCAAAUCAAACCAGCGCUACAGCCGCUACGAUACGCAGAGACUACAGCCAGGGUUCCCAAAAUUCUCUUAUGCUUCCACAUGCCAGUCCCAUAAACUGAGCACAAGUUAGAUCAAACAAGAUGAAGGAAUUGCAAUAAAAACCCAACUGUACAAAUGGGGAAUUGUAUGUAAAAAUAAUGUGAUAUCUUGUAACAAUUGUAAGUCGCCCUGGAUAAGGGCGUCUGCUAAGAAAUAAAUAAUAAUAAUAUUUUAUAGGACUGUACUGUAUAAUUUAGUCAUUUAGCAGACACUUUUAUCCAAAGCGACUUCCAGAGACUAGGGGGGUGAAUUCUGCAUCAAAUUAACUACAAAGCAAAGAAUGUCACAGCAGUUUUAAGCUAUAAAUAUAUUUAAAAAAUAUUUUUUUUUUUCAAAAUUGUAACCCAAAAAAUACACUUCAAAUGAUUUCCUCAUUCCAUUCAAAUCACGUGACACUGCGACCUUUCAACUCAGAGAGAGAGGCUGGCAGGGUUCAGAGGUCAUGUUGUCACAUGUUUUGACGGGAUCAAGACAAUGGUUGCUGUGGUACAGAAAUAAUUUGUUUAGCUAGAGAGAUAAGAAAUAUACUUGAAGGAAACAUAAUUCUGUUUUUUUGCUUUCUCUGUGUUCUUUCUGCAUUUCAGAACCAUGGUACUUCACCGUCUUUGUAUUUAUCUCUUGCUAAGAAAUUCUCAUUUUAAUAAACAGAUUAAAAAAACACUAUAUAUAAAAUAUACAGGCAUACAUUUGU